rnacentral:rRNA from 1 species
AAUCCAUAGGUUAAUGAGGCGAACCGGGGGAACUGAAACAUCUAAGUACCCCGAGGAAAAGAAAUCAACCGAGAUUCCCCCAGUAGCGGCGAGCGAACGGGGAGGAGCCCAGAGCCUGAAUCAGCAUGUGUGUUAGUGGAAGCGUCUGGAAAGGCGCGCGAUACAGGGUGACAGCCCCGUACACAAAAGCGCAUGUGCUGUGAGCUCGAUGAGUAGGGCGGGACACGUGGUAUCCUGUCUGAAUAUGGGGGGACCAUCCUCCAAGGCUAAAUACUCCUGACUGACCGAUAGUGAACCAGUACCGUGAGGGAAAGGCGAAAAGAACCCCGGCGAGGGGAGUGAAAAAGAACCUGAAACCGUGUACGUACAAGCAGUGGGAGCACCCUUCGGGGUGUGACUGCGUACCUUUUGUAUAAUGGGUCAGCGACUUAUAUUCUGUAGCAAGGUUAACCGUAUAGGGGAGCCGGAGGGAAACCGAGUCUUAACCGGGCGUUAAGUUGCAGGGUAUAGACCCGAAACCCGGUGAUCUAGCCAUGGGCAGGUUGAAGGUUGGGUAACACUAACUGGAGGACCGAACCGACUAAUGUUGAAAAAUUAGCGGAUGACCUGUGGCUGGGGGUGAAAGGCCAAUCAAACCGGGAGAUAGCUGGUUCUCCCCGAAAGCUAUUUAGGUAGCGCCUCGUGAAUUCAUCUCCGGGGGUAGAGCACUGUUUCGGCUAGGGGGCCAUCCCGGCUUACCAACCCGAUGCAAACUGCGAAUACCGGAGAAUGUUAUCACGGGAGACACACGGCGGGUGCUAACGUCCGUCGUGAAGAGGGAAACAACCCAGACCGCCAGCUAAGGUCCCAAAGUCAUGGUUAAGUGGGAAACGAUGUGGGAAGGCCCAGACAGCCAGGAUGUUGGCUUAGAAGCAGCCAUCAUUUAAAGAAAGCGUAAUAGCUCACUGGUCGAGUCGGCCUGCGCGGAAGAUGUAACGGGGCUAAACCAUGCACCGAAGCUGCGGCAGCGAACGUAUCACCCAAGACAACUUUACGGAGUUGACGAUUGACGGAGCGAAGCGACGUCAAAGCGUUCAUUAAAGUCGAGUUGGCUUAGGGAUACGUUCGUUGGGUAGGGGAGCGUUCUGUAAGCCUGUGAAGGUGUGUCGUGAGGCAUGCUGGAGGUAUCAGAAGUGCGAAUGCUGACAUAAGUAACGAUAAAGCGGGUGAAAAGCCCGCUCGCCGGAAGACCAAGGGUUCCUGUCCAACGUUAAUCGGGGCAGGGUGAGUCGACCCCUAAGGCGAGGCCGAAAGGCGUAGUCGAUGGGAAACGGGUUAAUAUUCCCGUACUUGGUGUUACUGCGAAGGGGGGACGGAGAAGGCUAUGUUGGCCGGGCGACGGUUGUCCCGGUUUAAGCGUGUAGGUGUGUGUUCCAGGUAAAUCCGGUUCACUUUAACACUGAGGCGUGACGACGAGGCACUACGGUGCUGAAGCAACAAAUGCCCUGCUUCCAGGAAAAGCCUCUAAGCAUCAGGUAACAC